UUUACGGAGAGUUUGAUCCUGGCUCAGGACGAACGUUGGCGGCACGCCUAAUGCAUGCAAGUCGAACGAGAUACCACCGCUUGCGGUAGUAUCAAGUGGCAGACGGCUGAGUAACACGUGAGUGAUCUGCCUUUGAGAGGGGGAUAACACAGGGAAACCUGUGCUAAUACCGCGUACGCUCUGUUUCAUAAAAGGGACAGAGGAAACGGGGACAGGUAACUGUUCUCGCUCGAAGAUGAGCUCGCGUCCUAUCAGGUAGUUGGUGGGGUAAUUGCCUACCAAGCCUAAGACGGGUAGCUGGUAUGAGAGUACGAUCAGCCAGAGGGGGACUGAGACACGGCCCCCACUCCUACGGGAGGCAGCAGCAGGGAAUUUUCCACAAUGGGCGAAAGCCUGAUGGAGCGAUGCCGCGUGAAGGAUGAAGGCUUUAGGGUCGUAAACUUCUUUUCUCAGGGAAGAGUAAGGACUGUACCUGAGGAAUAAGCCACGGCUAACUACGUGCCAGCAGCCGCGGUAAUACGUAGGUGGCAAACGUUGUCCGGAUUUAUUGGGCGUAAAGGGUCCGUAGGUGGUUUGGUAAGUCUUCUGUGAAAGGUACAGGCUUAACCUGUAGAAGUCAGAAGAUACUGCUAAACUCGAGACUGUCAGAGGAACAUAGAAUUCCCGGUGUAGUGGUGAAAUGCGUAGAUAUCGGGAGGAAUACCAGUGGCGAAGGC
rnacentral:rRNA from 1 species